UCUUGCAGCCAGCAGUGUGGACAGUGAGGAAGCACAUAUUGCACGCUGAAAACAUCACCUCAUUACAGAUGCAUCGUGCACUGUGAGUUGACAGUCCCUUCUUGUGUGCUUCGACAGUCACUAUUCAUGGGACUCAACAUACAACAGGACACUAUCUUGUGGUCUCCAGAGACGAGUACAACCUGUGCUAUGGGAAACUGGUACACAUCUUUGUGGAAACUGGCCCGGAGGCGUUUCUGAAGAUCAGGAGUAGAGAUCACAAAACGAAAAAGUUGGUGUCAGUAACAUGUCUUGAGGAGCUAAUCAGAGUUGCUGUGGGUCAUCGAAUUUGUCAGGAAGGCGACAUACAGGUGUAUUUAGUGGAUGAGUUAUCACUUCGCUGUAUGGUUGCUGGUGCUGAGAAAUGCCUCGAUGACAUUUUCAUUGUUAAAAAUGGACUAUGGAAACAAGAUCAGUCAACAUGUGUGAGUGCACCUUCACCAAUCCCACAAAUGCCUCUGCUCUCACGAAUUUAUUACCCUUGGGAGAGCC